GACGUAGGUGGCGAACGUUAUCCGGAAUUAUUGGGCGUAAAGGGUGCGUAGAUGGCUUGAUAAGUUAGCAGUGGGAAAUCGAGGCUCAACCUCGUGGAAGCUGGUAAUACUGUCAGGCUCGAGUGCAGGAGAGGUUAGCGGAACUCCAUGUAGAGCGGUAAAAUAUGUAGAUAUAUGGAAGAACACCAAUAACGGCGAAGGCAGUUAACUAUUCUGUUACUGACAUUGAGGCACGAAAGCGUGGGGAGCAAAACGG
rnacentral:rRNA from 1 species